rnacentral:rRNA from 1 species
CCUACGGGUGGCAGCAGUGAGGAAUAUUGGUCAAUGGGCGCGAGCCUGAACCAGCCAAGUAGCGUGAAGGAUGACUGCCCUACGGGUUGUAAACUUCUUUUAUAAAGGAAUAAAGUGAGGCACGUGUGCCUUUUUGUAUGUACUUUAUGAAUAAGGAUCGGCUAACUCCGUGCCAGCAGCCGCGGUAAUACGGGGGAUGCGAGCGUUAUCCGGAUUUAUUGGGUUUAAAGGGUGCAUAGGCGGCGAUUCAGGUCAGCGGUGAAAUACUGGGGCUCAACCCCGGGGCUGCCGUUGAAACCGGAGCGCUAGAAUUCCGAUGCGGUCGGAGGAAUGUGUGGUGUAGCGGUGAAAUGCAUAGAUAUCACACAGAACACCGAUUGCGAAGGCAUCUGACGAAUCGGAGAUUGACGCUGAUGCACGAAAGCGUGGGUAUCGAACAGGAUUAGAUACCCCGGUAGUC